CAGUAGCCGCGGGAAUACGAAGGGGGCUAGCGUUGUUCGGAAUUACUGGGCGUAAAGCGCACGUAGGCGGAUAUUUAAGUCAGGGGUGAAAUCCCGCAGCUCAACUGCGGAACUGCCUUUGAUACUGGGUAUCUUGAGUAUGGAAGAGGUUAGUGGAAUUGCGAGUGUAGAGGUGAAAUUCGUAGAUAUUCGCAGGAACACCAGUGGCGAAGGCGGCUAACUGGUCCAUAACUGACGCUGAGGUGCGAAAGCGUGGGGAGCAAACAGGAUUAGAUACCCGAGUAGUCCCUGUCUCUUAUAC
rnacentral:rRNA from 1 species